GCCAGACUCCUACGGGAGGCAGCAGUGGGGAAUAUUGCACAAUGGGGGAAACCCUGAUGCAGCGACGCCGCGUGAGUGAGGAAGUAUUUCGGUAUGUAAAGCUCUAUCAGCAGGGAAGAAAAUGACGGUACCUGACUAAGAAGCCCCGGCUAACUACGUGCCAGCAGCCGCGGUAAUACGUAGGGGGCAAGCGUUAUCCGGAUUUACUGGGCGUAAAGGGGGCGCAGACGGCGAUGCAAGCCAGGAGUGAAAGCCCGGGGCCCAACCCCGGGACUGCUCUUGGAACUGCGUGGCUGGAGUGCAGGAGGGGCAGGCGGAAUUCCUGGUGUAGCGGUGAAAUGCGUAGAUAUCAGGAGGAACACCGGUGGCGAAGGCGGCCUGCUGGACUGCAACUGACGUUGAGGCCCGAAAGCGUGGGGAGCAAACAGGAUUAGAUACCCGAGUA
rnacentral:rRNA from 1 species